rnacentral:rRNA from 1 species
AUUGAACGCUGGCGGUAUGCCUUACACAUGCAAGUCGAACGGCAGCACGGGGCAACCUGGUGGCGAGUGGCGAACGGGUGAGUAAUGCAUCGGAACGUACCUUUCAGUGGGGGAUAACGUAGCGAAAGUUACGCUAAUACCGCAUAUUCUGUGAGCAGGAAAGCAGGGGAUCGCAAGACCUUGCGCUGAUUGAGCGGCCGAUGUCAGAUUAGCUAGUUGGUGAGGUAAAGGCUCACGAAGGCGACGAUCUUUAGCGGGUCUGAGAGGAUGAUCCGCCACAAGGAAACGCAGACACGGUCCAGACUCCUGCGGGAGGCAGCAGUGGGGAAUUUUGGACAAGGGGGGCAACCCUGAUCCAGCCAUGCCGCGUGAGUGAAGAAGGCCUUCGGGUUGUAAAGCUCUUUCGGCCGGGAAGAAAUCGCACGGGCUAAUACCCUGUGUGGAUGACGGUACCGGAAUAAGAAGCACCGGCUAACUACGUGCCAGCAGCCGCCGCGGUAA